CUGUAUCCUUCUAAAACUUGCCAUAUUCUCCUUUCUUCUAAGUUCUAACCAUAAUUAUCCUAUCCAAAUCCCUGCAACCACAGUAGAAUUCGAUCUCAGUUACAAACAGGGAAGUGAUAUGCGGUACAAGAAAAUCCGAGUUACAACAAGGGAAGUAAUCUGCAGUACAAGAGAAUUCGAUCCUGAUUGCGGGAAGGUAUGCCUGUUUCUCAUUGUUUAUCUACUAAGUUUUUCAGAACGUGUUUAUCUACUUAAUUGCUUGUAUCCAAUCUAUAAACGCUCCAAUAACAUGCCUUUUGAUUUCUCAGCUGGCAAAUCUAGGCAACGGAAGGCGAAUUGCUUG
rnacentral:lncRNA from 1 species